CUCUGACAAGGUUUUAAAUCAGCUUAGUACCUGUUGCUUCUCCUAAAGGGAGAAUGAAACAAACAAUUGCAACAGCGAGGACAGGUAGGGACACUGUUGUCAUGCCCUAUGCUGAGGAACAGGAAGCCCAGCAUGCCUUUCUCUAAUGCACCUGCCUUCAGAUGUAGGUGGACUCUCAGUUGUCACAGAUGACCACACCCUUUCCCCCAUCCAAACUCUUGUCCUUUCCCAGACUCCAGCCAUCUUCAGAGAUGUCUCAUGUGUGUUCCUAAGCAACGCCAAGCUCAUCCUUUUGGAUGCUGUCACUUGACCACUGCUGUCUGUUUCUACAGGAGCCUGUUGACAUUGCUGCCCAGGGCUGCCCACAGGCCGUGUGGUCAGAGCUGUAGACCAUGCAGCUGCUGCAUCCUCACAGAAGCAGAAUUGCUGACCACUUCCAAUCUGUGACAAGUGCUGUUUACUGGAGCAGGAGCCUCUGCCUUCCUCCCAAAGUCUCUCGUUGUUUCGGCUCCAAGCGAAGGCCUCCUCCUUCUAAAUGGACUCAGGCCCUUGGACUUUCAGAAUAGGCAGGCUACACACUUGCCAGGGGCUCAGGCUUGCCUUGGUCCAGUUAGAACCCAGGUUUCCUGCCCCUGAGUGCCUGCCUUGGUCAGCAUUACUAGGAGACAGGGCAAUGACAGGAGGAGUCCAGAGGGCAGUAUGCAAAGCUAUGAUUAGUGAUCAUCCCCAGGAGGGGAUGGAGACGGCCCCUCAGCUGAGUCACCAGGACUGCAGGAAGACAUGCUUCAGAAAGUUCCCAGGACAGGUAGACAAGACUCCAAGCAGUGAUACCAGGAAUGGGAGAGCAAAACGCCCACGAGGUGAGAAGAUCCUUAGAAGGGAAUUUACUGCACAGCAUCUACUGGGCACCGACCACAUGCCAGGCAUAACCGUGGGAUCCAGGCAGACAAUAGGGAACUGUAAAAUGCCCUGUCUUCAGAGAAGACAAAUGCCAGGAGAUGGGAAGAGCUAA
rnacentral:lncRNA from 1 species